GAUGCAGAUUGUUAUCUCUUUAUUGGACAGAAAGUUCCUGAAUGUUAGGUUUAAGAACCUCAAGACAAACAAGCAUGAGAAGGAAAUGCCAUCCAGGGACUGCCUCUGAGACCACAUGGGAGCUGCAUGCUGAAGACAUCACAGGCUUCAUCCAGGCAAUGUGGCUCCUAGGGAAGGAGAGAGAGAAUAAUGAGCAGGGUGAAGACCAGCCCCAGUGCCUGUGGCUGCGUGAGGGACCCACAUGCGCGUGCCCCUGCUUCUUCUCGCUUGCCCCUGCUCCUUCUAGCUUGCCCCUGCUCCUUCUCGCUUGCCCCUGCUCCUUCUAGCUUGCCCCUGCUCCUUCUCGCUUGCCCCUGCUCCUUCUAGCUUGCCCCUGCUCCUUCUCGCUUGCCCCUGCUCCUUCUAGCUUGCCCCUGCUCCUUCUAGCUUGCCCCUGCUCCUUCUCGCUUGCCCCUGCUCCUUCUAGCUUGCCCCUGCUCCUUCUCGCUUGCCCCUGCUCCUUCUAGCUUGCCCCUGCUCCUUCUAGCUUGCCCCUGCUCCUUCUAGCUUGCCCCUGCUCCUUCUCGCUUGCCCCUGCUCCUUCUAGCUUGCCCCUGCUCCUUCUAGCUUGCCCCUGCUCCUUCUCGCUUGCCCCUGCUCCUUCUAGCUUGCCCCUGCUCCUUCUAGCUUGCCCCUGCUCCUUCUAGCUUGCCCCUGCUCCUUCUCGCUUGCCCCUGCUCCUUCUAGCUUGCCCCUGCUCCUUCUCGCUUGCCCCUGCUCCUUCUAGCUUGCCCUUGCUCCUUCUAGCUUGCCCCUGCUCCUUCUUUGUCUCCUCUGAUUUACAAACAGGGACUUCUCUUUGUGCUCAUACCUUCCUCUUAUCGAGAGGGGAGAGGAAUCUGAUCCCCUGAACGGAAUGCAUAUGGUCAUUUAAAGAAGACCUUAACUAUGAAACUUUCAACAUGAAGCUUCCUCACCAAAGGAGCCGCCCGAGACUUUGGGGCCAUAUGGCUUGUCUCUCACUAAUUCAUCAGAAGAACCCGAGGAAGGGCCCGAGGCAAAGCUCUCACUGACAACUUCUUCCGACUAUACAUCCUAGAACGCUUCUAAUGCCUUCAAAUAAACAAAUAUGUUGUACCUGACAAGUGGCACAGGGAUAGAAAGACAUAGAAUGAAGUCAAGAAAUCCAAACGAAAACCUCAAUAAGACAGCUAAUAAAACUUCAGAAUUCCCAUUUCAGCUCGGGAUGGCUUUGGAGACUCGGGAUUCAUUCAAACAAGAAUUUUAGGAUUGCUCUCUACACUUCUGCGAAGGGUGACAUGAAAAUUAUGACAGGUCCGUGCACCACAUGUGUGCCUGGUACCCACAGAGACCAGAAGAAGGCAUCAGACUCCCUGGAACUGAAGUUAUGGAUGGCUGCGAGCUGCUGUGUGGAUGCUGGGAAGUGGACUCAGGACCUCUGGAAGAGCAGCCAGUGCUCCUAACCUCUGAGCCCUCUCUCCAGUCCCCUUCAGUAUGUUAUAAUGCACACGUUCACCACACUAGGUCAUCACCAUUAUUAUUCUAAUAGUGUCUCAGAGAUUUUAUUUUUUCAAGAGCUGUAUUAGCUGCCCAAUUUUGAGCAAGAUGAGCAACUUUAAUUUCUUUCUCAAAUAAUAUUUGUAAUCAUUGAGAAUUUCAUGCAAUGCAUUUGAUCAUAGUUAUGCCCCAAACUUCUCCCAGAUCCGCCCCUCCUUUCUAACCACCCAGCUCACGUUCUCUCUUCUUUAAUCCAUUGAGUCCAGUGUAUGUUGCCCAAAUAUUCUUGGGUGGGACGCCUGCCUUGGAGACUGGUCACUCGGAGCUAAAGAGCCUGACUCUUCCUCUCCUGGUUACCAAUAGCUCCUUAGCUAGGGGUGGGAACAUGAUCCCCACCUCUCCUGCCCCAUCUCUCUGAGAGUUUUGUCGGACUUGAGGGUUUUUUUUAAGUCUUAUGCAUGCUGCCACAAAUUGCCAUGAACUUGUAUGUUUAACUUCCAUGUUGUGUGCAGAAAACACUCUUUCCUUGUCAUCACCCACCACAAAUUUAUACACAUACAUCAACAUCAUAUACAUGUACAACAUAUGUAUUUGCAUAUAUAAUAUAUGCCUAUGCAUAUACAUCACAUACAUAUACAUCACAUACAUAGACAUUUGCAUAUGGAUAUACUAUACAUCAUAUACAUAUACAAAUUUAUUUAUUUAUUUUAUGUAUAUAAGUACCCUGUCGCUGUCUUCAGACAUGCCAGAAGAGGGCAUCGGAUCCCAUUACAGAUGGUUGUGAGCCACCAUGUGGUUGCUGGGAAUUGAAAUCAGGACCUCUGGAAGAGCAGUCAGUGCUCAUAACCACUAAGCCGUCUCUCCAGCCCCUCACAAAUUUACAUUUUGACAAUUCCGGACACGUGCAUAGUAUAUUUUGAUUGCAUUCACCAUGGUUACCUUCCCUUGUCUACUUACUCCCCUUGCAGAACCACUUCUCAGGUAGACUGCUUUUUACCUGCCAUACUGUUUUUGUUCCUAUUGGAUAGAUUUGUUUUUUAUUCUGGGAGAUCCAGGUUUUCAAAAGAUAUAUGGCCCAGCGUGCCUCACAUUGCUGCCCCUGCACAGCCUCUCUGGGGAUAUUGACACCGGAGUCACAAAAUGCUCUUGAUGGACAAAGAGGGUAAUAACAUUUCCUUGAGUGUUUUUUCACCCUUUGCUUUGCACUACGUGUAAAGUCCAUCAAGGGGGACAUUAUCUUCUCAACGUUACUCAGCAGAACAAGCAUACGCCAAGGUGGCUCAGAUUCCUAAACUUCUCGACCAGGAUGCAAUCUACCAUUAAAUAGCAAUGCAUAACCCUAUCAGCUUGAUGCUGUGCUGGCUAGUGUAACGUCAACCUGACACAAGCUGGAGUCGUUUUGGAACUUCGACUGAGAAAAUGACCUCAUCAGAUUGGCUUGUGGGCAAACCUGUGGUACAUUUUGUUGAAUGAUAAUUGCUGUGGAUGUGGAAGGGUCCGGCUCUCUGUGGAUGGUAUCACCCUGGAGCUGGUGGUCCUGGGAAAGCAGGCUGAGCAAGUUAUGAGGAGGAAGUCAGUAAGCAGCAUCCCUCCAUGGUUUCUGCAUCAGCUCCUGCCUCCAGGUUCCUGCCCUGUUUGAGUUCCUGUCCUGAUUUCCCUCUCAGUGAAGGUCUAUUGCCUACAAGAGUAAGUCGAAUAAACCAUUUCCUCCCAAAGUUACUUCUGGUUAUAGUGCUUUAUCACAAAAGCAGAACCUCUUACUAAGACAGAUGCCAAGCCACAUCCCACAGGUCUCCUGACAAUUGUAGCUUGCUGUUGUCUUCUAAUUAGUAUGUCUUCCAAUGGAAAGUAUUAAAGGAAUAUGAUAUCCAGAGUAUGGUUGAAGGCACUAGCAAAAAUGACUUUGGUCCAAGAAGCCAUUGGUUUUUAGACUCCCAUCAGGCCUUGCUCCUGCUCGUCUAAGACGCUGUGCGCAUGAGCAGACGCUCUGCACGUACGCAGACGUGAGCGGAUGUGAGCGGAUGCUGUGCACGUCAGCAAGGACUAGAACAUUUUCACCUUCACUCAGUUGUCCACUUUCUUGUCUCAUUCUGGUCUCCUCUAGUCUUUGGUACCAUUCUAUAUUUAAUGGAAAAACUCAACACUGUGACGUUUUCUUGACCUGAGCUUUUUUCCUAAGUGAUAGGAGUAAGGACACAGUCUCCUCUCUUGCUCUCUCCAAACCUUAAUAAUAUUAUCUAUACGAUAACAGGCCAGAAUAGUCGUUCUGGCUGAAUUUCCCAGCGCUUGAGUAUGGGUAUGUGGGUAACCUCAGAAAGAAGUCAGAAGCAGGAAGAGAACUGUGGAGUUGGAAUAUGACGGGCAUGAUUAAAGUCAUUUAAAAGUCCCAUUUGUUACUCACAGGGACUUGGUCUGUACAAGAACGUGGUGAUAGAAGGAAGCAAAUAUUCCUACCUUCAUAACUUUCGUUAAAAUUUCCCCUUGGCAUAUACUCACUGUGUACGGUACUGGGUUAUACAACAUCAAUUUCAUACAAUUAUAGAAUUUACUUUUAGUGUAUUUACCCACAGCCUCUACCCUCACCAAUCUCAUAUCUUUCUUUCAUACCUGGAUUUGCUAGGGAAAAUGCAUUUGGAUCCUGAUACCCUGUUUGAGGUCACAUAGUCAUUUCGGGUGGGGGGAGAACACAGACAAAGACACAAAAGAAUAGAGCAAACAAUGGCCAGCCUAGAGGAUACUGGAGUUACAUCAUGUUCCAUGUGCAGAGUGAGACGAGGAAGCUAUCUUCCUUCCAGGAAUGCUACCCCACUAGUGGGUAAUCAGGCACCAACAUUAAGAGAUAAAGUGUGGCAGGUACCCAGUGUUCAUCAGUCUUGACAUCUUUCCUGGUUCCACAGCCCCACAUUUCAAGCAGAACAGGCGAUAUGAGAAACCAUCUCCUCACAUCUAGGACGUAAUAACUGAGUUCUAGAGAGGAGGAUUAUGGGUUCUCCGAUUCAGCGAGUGCCCUGGGAGAGCACACAAGUUAGAACCGCCAUGUUGUAGAGCUGACUUCUAAGAAAGCUCAUACUUGAUAAAUCCAGUGUAUCUGAGCUCAGAAAAAUGGUCCGUAGCAUGGAGGGAAACAUUCCAGAGCGACCUAACAAGACCGUCAGGGGCAAGGCUAAGGAAGAUGUCACUCAGUCAAAGCUCUUUUCUACCCAUCUGAAAACAACCUGUUCUCACUGGGUCCCUCUUCUUUCUCAUCAUUUAGUUAUCACAACUAAUUGCCCUAUUCUGAUCUCAGUCUUCAUGACUUCUAAAACUCCUCUCACCCUCCAUAAAGGGAAGGAAGGAGUCCUAUGUCAGUCUCUCCAGCAUCCUUAAUUUUUUGGUACUGAAACUGAAUAACUGGAAAGAAGUUUUCUAAAAUAGUAAACUCAGCAGGAAACCAAAGAAGAUACAUACUGAGGUUUUUGUGCCUGUUCUGAUUAACUUAUUGAUUUGUGUGAACAUUAUUGGUCUUAAAAGAUCUAGAGCUGAUGUUAAAUAAGUAACAGGGGUAUUCAUGCCUGUCUGUCCCAUGCAGCAUUCCUUAGUUGCCUGUAGCUCUUUGUCUAGGGUUGAGACAUCGUGGUCUUUCCCCCCUUCACAGUAGUAAGUGUAUUGUUGCUUUCUUUGUUUAGAUCAGGUUUAGGCAGCCAUGUUGGUAAGACGUUAUGGGUGUGGCUUGUGACAUUCCUAGGAGACACAGCCUCAAAGCAAACUGCCUGGUCCUCUGCUUCUUACAAUCCUUCCACCCCAUUUCCUGAAGUGAUCUAGGAGUUAGGUGCAGAAGUGUGCUGUGGAGGAUUCAGUUGGGACUGGGCUCCAUAAGUCUGCAUUUUGAUUGGUUAUAGUUUUCUGUAAUG